rnacentral:rRNA from 1 species
UACGGAGGGUGCAAGCAUUAAUCGGAUUUAUUGGGCGUAAAGGGUGCGUAGGCGGGAAUGUAAGUCAGAUGUGAAAUCCCGGGGCUCAACCCCGGAACUGCAUUUGAAACUGCAUUUCUUGAGGAUGGACGGAGAAAACGGAAUUCCACGUGUAGCGGUGAAAUGCGUAGAUAUGUGGAGGAACACCUGUGGCGUAGGCGGUUUUCUAGUUUAUUCCUGACGCUGAGGCACGAAAGCAAGGGGAUCAAACAGG